AUGCCGAUGCGAGAUGCGGCCAGUAAUAAAUGCCCGUCUUGGCAAGUGGCGAUGUUGCUCGGCAUCUCGGGCAUCUCCUCAAAAAUCCUCCUCAUCAAAAACUUGACUCUGAUCUCUGUCCUCAUCUGGACUCUCCUCUGCUGCUGCUUCACAGAGUCUAGAGGUCAGGUCACAGUGACUCAGCCUGGAGCAGUGAGCUCUGCUCGGGGAGACUCCGUCUCCAUCAGCUGUAAGGUCAACCCAAACGUUCCUUUAGUGGGUUCAGGUUUGUAUAAAGGGAAAAACUAUUUCCACUGGUACCAACAGAGAGAUGGAGGAGCUCCUAAACUGAUCAUUUACUUGGUUAAUGUACGAGCAUCAGGGAUUCCAGGUCGUUUUUCAGGCAGUGGAUCAAACUCUGACUUCACUCUGACCAUCAGUGGAGUUGAGGCUGAAGAUGCAGCAGUUUAUUACUGUCAGAGUUAUUAUUGGAUCAACAGUCAGGAUGUGUACACAGUGAAAAAGCGUCGUACAAAAACCUCCCUCAGUCAGACUGUACUUACGGUCUGUCAGCCGUCCUCCCAGGGUCACGGAGGUCCCUUCCUUCUCAAGGACGCCCGCCUUGCCCUUCUUGGUCGCCGGACUGAGAGAGGGGGAUGCUCAGAGGCUCUGACCAGGCCGCGCGGAUAG